rnacentral:tRNA from 1 species
GCGUCCAUUAUCUAAGGGAUAGGAUAGAGAUCUUCUAAACCUUUGGUAUAGGUUCAAAUCUUAGACGCA